rnacentral:snRNA from 1 species
AUACUUACCUGGCAGGGGGGACACCAUGAUCACCAAGGUGAUUGCAGGGCGAGGCUGAUCCAUUGCACUGGGGAUCUCCUGACCCCUGCAAUUUUCCCCACAUGGGGUAAACUCAACUGCACAAUUUGUGUCGGUGGGGGGUAGUGUUUGUGCUUUCCCCCA